AGAUUUGCUAUGAAGUUCGAGGUCCGUGCUGGAGGGCUGCGGUUAGAGCUGAGAACACCAACAAAGCAGGAAGGGCAGAGGAUUCAUCCAUCAGGCCUUGUGCUAUCCAUCCAGACUUUCUGAGAGAGAAAUCUACAAGAGCCAGCCCUUAAAAGUGUGGCUUAGUUUCUCAAAGAAGGACCAAAGUUUUGUCAAGAACACCCAGAUGAAGACCUUCCUAGACCUGUAAACUGGGAUUACCAAGUUCUUGACUUCACAAGGAAGUUUCAACCAAUUCUGACCUAAUACUCUACCGGAGAUCCACAACCUUCCUAAUCCCCACCCCCUCCUCGUCCCGCCCCCGCGCCUCAAAAACUAUGGAGAAAAAGAAGGUGUGCCCAAGGCUGGACCGAAGUCAUCCUGCCCCUUCUUCAAAAGAGAGACACCUCCCAAGGCCAACGCCCUCCGGAGGGGCCCAGGUGCUCCUCCCUUCUGGCAUCUAUUCCGUCUGGCAUCUAUUCCGUCUGGCAUCUAUUCCUCUGCAAAGGAUCAGAAAGGAAGCCGCUGGCUCAAUGGAUUCUGGAUUUCGGGUAGACCUGACUGCUUUGGGGCAUCCUCAAUCGGGCGGUGAAGCCUCUGGGGGCAGAGGAGCGUCGUGGGAGAGGAGCGUCGUGGGAGAAAGACAAGCUAGGCUGCUGCUUCCCUACCCAUGCCAACUUCCCGGGUCUCGUCUUGAAACAAGAGCAGAGGCCUGAGACCCGGGCGCCAUUGCUGGCCAGGCUCCCCUCCCCCACACUCCUUUCUUUGCUUCUCGAAGACCCGGGAGGGAGGAGGCGGCGAGCGCCUCGGUGGAUAGAGCUGCUAUUGUGACCUUCCCGGGCUAAGCGGGGAACCCAGCGGAGUGUGUACUGCCCGCGGUGGCGGGGGAGGAGGUGACUGUGUGCAAGCCUCGAGUGCAGAGGGGGUGGCACCCGGGAAUAAAUAAAGGCUUGCAACCUCGGGCACUUGGACCC
rnacentral:lncRNA from 1 species